UNCAAGCCCCUGGAAACGGGGUCUAAUACCGGAUAACACUCUGUCCCGCAUGGGACGGGGUUAAAAGCUCCGGCGGUGAAGGAUGAGCCCGCGGCCUAUCAGCUUGUUGGUGGGGUAAUGGCCUACCAAGGCGACGACGGGUAGCCGGCCUGAGAGGGCGACCGGCCACACUGGGACUGAGACACGGCCCAGACUCCUACGGGAGGCAGCAGUGGGGAAUAUUGCACAAUGGGCGAAAGCCUGAUGCAGCGACGCCGCGUGAGGGAUGACGGCCUUCGGGUUGUAAACCUCUUUCAGCAGGGAAGAAGCGAAAGUGACGGUACCUGCAGAAGAAGCGCCGGCUAACUACGUGCCAGCAGCCGCGGUAAUACGUAGGGCGCAAGCGUUGUCCGGAAUUAUUGGGCGUAAAGAGCUCGUAGGCGGCUUGUCACGUCGGAUGUGAAAGCCCGGGGCUUAACCCCGGGUCUGCAUCGAUAC
rnacentral:rRNA from 2 species